rfam:Brassica napus, WGS project CCCW01000000 data, contig: 4537
GGAAUAUAAGAACUCGUAUCUUAAUUUUUAACUAAAAAAACUAAGAAUCGGUUCUUAAAUAAGAGUUUUAAGAGUCUGUUUUUAACUUUUUUAGUUAAAAGUUAAGAGACGGGUUCUUAUAUUCC